GACGAACGCUGGCGGCGUGCUUAACACAUGCAAGUCGAACGGAAAGGCCCUGCUUUUGUGGGGUGCUCGAGUGGCGAACGGGUGAGUAACACGUGAGUAACCUGCCCUUGACUUUGGGAUAACUUCAGGAAACUGGGGCUAAUACCGGAUAGGAGCUCCUGCUGCAUGGUGGGGUUUGGAAAGUUUCGGCGGUUGGGGAUGGACUCGCGGCUUAUCAGCUUGUUGGUGGGGUAGUGGCUUACCAAGGCUUUGACGGGUAGCCGGCCUGAGAGGGUGACCGGCCACAUUGGGACUGAGAUACGGCCCAGACUCCUACGGGAGGCAGCAGUGGGGAAUAUUGCACAAUGGGCGGAAGCCUGAUGCAGCAACGCCGCGUGCGGGAUGACGGCCUUCGGGUUGUAAACCGCUUUCGCCUGUGACGAAGCGUGAGUGACGGUAAUGGGUAAAGAAGCACCGGCUAACUACGU
rnacentral:rRNA from 1 species